rnacentral:rRNA from 1 species
GCGCGCUUAACACAUGCAAGUCGAACGAGAAAGGGGAGCAAUCCCUGAGUAAAGUGGCGUACGGGUGAGUAACACGUGGGUAAUCCACCUCCGGGUUCGGAAUAACCCUGGGAAACCGGGGCUAAUACCGGAUGAGCUCUUGGGAGGAAAGGCGAAAGUCGCCGGGAGAGGAGCCCGCGGCCGAUUAGCUAGUUGGUAGGGUAACGGCCUACCAAGGCGAUGAUCGGUAGCCGGCCUGAGAGGGCACACGGCCACACUGGCACUGAAACACGGCCCAUACUCCUACGGGAGGCAGCAGUUAGGAAUCUUCCGCAAUGGGCGAAAGCCUGACGGAGCGACACCGCGUGAAGGAUGAAGCCCUUUCUGGGUGUAAACUUCUGUUCUGAGGGAAGAAAUUUUUGACGGUACCUCAGGAGAAAGCACCGGCUAAUUCUGUGCCAGCAGCCGCGGUAAGACAGAAGGUGCAAGCGUUACUCGGAAUUACUGGGCGUAAAGCGUCUGUAGGUUUUUAACCACGUCUGAUGUGAAAUCGCGGGCCCUAACCCCGCGCCCACAUUGGAAACGAGUUAGAUAGAGUCAUUCAGAGGCAUCUGGAAUGUCGUGUGUAGGGGUAAAAUCCGUAGAUACACGAUGGAACGCCAAAAGUGAAGACAGGAUACUAGAAAUGUACUGACACUCAGAGACGAAAGCGUGGGGAGCAAAGGGGAUUAGAUACCCCGUAGUCCACGCCCUAAACGAUGCGAGCUCGGUGUGGGACUUUCAAUCAAGUCCCGUGCCCUAAGCUUACGCGGUAAGCUCGCCGCCUGGGAAGUACGGCCGCAAGGCUAAAACUCAAAGGAAUAGACGGGGACCCACACAAGCGGUGGAGCAUGGGGUUUAAUUCGAUGACAAGCGAAGCACCUCACCCAGACUUGACAUGUAGGGAAUCCUGUAGAAAUACGGGAGUGCCGCAAGGAACCCUAACACAGGCGCUGCACGGUCGUCGUCAGCUCGUGCCUUGAGGUGUACUGUUCAGUCAGCCAACGAGCGCAACCCUGAUUCUAUGUUGUUUUUUCAUAGAAGACUGCCGCCUCCAAGGCGGAGGAAGGUCAGGAUGACGUCAGAUCAGCGUGGCCCUUAUGUCUGGGGCAACACCCGUGCUACAAUGGCCGGUACAAACGGCAGCGAACUCGCGAGAGGGAGCAAAUCCGAUAAAGCCGGUCUCAGUUCAGAUUGAAGUCUGCAACUCGACUCCAUGAAGUUGGAAUCGCUAGUAACCGUGAAUCAGCUACGUCACGGUGAAUAUGUUCCUGGGUCUUGUACUCACCGCCCGUCAACUCAUGGAAGGCAGGGGCACCCGAAACUCCUUUACGCGCAAGCGGAGGAACCACGGUGAAACUGCUGACUGGGAGU